rnacentral:rRNA from 1 species
UACGAAGGGGGCUAGCGUUGCUCGGAAUCACUGGGCGUAAAGCGCACGUAGGCGGCUUUUUAAGUCAGGGGUGAAAUCCUGGAGCUCAACUCCAGAACUGCCUUUGAUACUGAGAAGCUUGAGUCCGGGAGAGGUGAGUGGAACUGCGAGUGUAGAGGUGAAAUUCGUAGAUAUUAGGAAGAACACCGGUGGCGAAGGCGGCCCACUGGAUCGGUACUGACGCUGAGGUGCGAAAGCGUGGGGAGCAAACAGG